UACGUAGGGUGCGAGCGUUAAUCGGAAUUACUGGGCGUAAAGCGUGCGCAGGCGGUUUGAUAAGUCUGAUGUGAAAUCCCCGGGCUCAACCUGGGAACUGCGUUGGAAACUGUCAGGCUAGAGUAUGGGAGAGGGAGGUAGAAUUCCACGUGUAGCAGUGAAAUGCGUAGAGAUCGGAAGGAACGUCAAUGGCGAAGGCAGCCACCCGGCAUAAUACUGACGCUGAAGCACGAAAGCGUGGGGAGCAAACAGGAUUAGAUA
rnacentral:rRNA from 1 species